GUGCCCGAGUCACAUUUCUUAUCACAUCCUUUUCAUUUCCCCCAGGGUUUGGCAUUUCCCCUUUUCUGAUUGGCUGCCUCCCCAGGGCCUGGGCCUCAGUGCUGGUGGCCCUCUGGGGGUCGGGAGCGCAUAAAUAGUUCCUGCUGGGGAAACUGGGAAACUGGUCUCAGACAAGAGGAACAGACAUCUCUGCCACGCACUGCUGCCUGGAGCUGCAUGAGGUCCCAGUGCUGCCAGCGUGUCUUCUGUGUAUAGCCCCAUGCACCUCUGCCUCAGCCACAGCCCUUCCCCGCAGCAGCUCCCGCGGCCUGGCCUGGUAGAGCUGCAGUCCCAGGCCUCCUUCUACUCCUUCCUGGUACGACUGCAUGAACCCCAGAGACCCAAGAAGCGAGUAGUGUUUGCAGACACGAAGGGGAUCUCGUUGACAUCCGUGUACAAGUUUGAAGAUGCUGUGGGCAGACACGUGUCCCAUGUUCAGUUUCCUGCGCCCUGAGCCACCUGGCUGGCCAGAGCCACCACCUACGCUCUGGGCUUCCCCGCACCCAGGCAGGGUUCGGGGGUUCCAGAGGCGCCUGCAGGUGCAGAGUGUGCGCCCGGAGCAGCGUGCUGGGCAGGGGGCUUCCUGCGAGGCGCUGUCUAGCAGGCAGGCUGGGUUCCAGAAGGCAAGGCAGAUGCGCAUCACCUUUGAUGUCAGGGCUCCUUCCAAGAAGUGCCUAGUGUUCACACGGCCAGUCCUUGCAGAAGCGAGACUGACAGCUUCGCCUUCCAAGCCAUGUUGCCACUAGGUCCCCCAGGCCGGUGGGCACCAUUCAGUUCUGCUUCUGUUGUUGGGGAAAACAAUCAAGGGCAAACCUGUUGUUUGGUGCCCAGUUCUCAGUCACGCUCAUCACAAUGGCCUGCCCCAGCUGAUUCAAUCUGUAAAACAACCAGGUGGUUAACAGCGUAAAGCUAGAAGCAGCCAAACACACCGGCUUCCAGGGCCGCUCUGAACACAGCUGCAGCUUCCUCAUCUGAUAAGGAACGCUUUCAUAACUGCACCUGUUUCCUCCUGCUCCCUCUCCAGCCUUCUAGCCCUGCCUCCAUUAAGGGAUGAUCAGGAAUAGCUAACAUCCAUGCCCAUCUUCCUCUACUUUAUACGCGGGAUGCCUACCACAGCAUGGCUUGAUGAGCGGUGCAAUGUCCGCACCUGGGAACCGAACCCGCGGACCCCAGGCCACCAAAGCGGAAUGUGCACACUUAACCGCUGCGCCACCGGGCCGGGGGUUUUUAUUUAAUGGGUAUUGAGUUUUCAUUUUUCAAGAUGAAAAAUUUCUAGAGAUCGGGUGUACAACAAUGUGAAUAUACUUAACACUACUGAACUGUGCCCUUAGAAAUGGUAAAGUUGGUAAGUUUUGUGUGUAUUUUACCACAACUAAUUUUUUUUAAAAAAAAAAGAACACAACUUUUGCUUAAUUUGGCUUUUUCUCUUGGUGCUUGGAAAUGAGCAUUGGUGUUGCUGGUUGUGUAGUAAACAGUUGUGGAUUCACCUCUUAAUGAAUGUUAAAGACUUUGUACGUUAAAAGGUGACCGUGGAAGGGAAAGGAAUUAUACAGCACACUUAUGGUGUUGUUCUACUGAGGGACAGAGUACCUUUCAAACGGAGUAUCUUCCCAGGUUCAUAGCACUGUGUGUCAUACACGCAGCAAACACAAUGAUUGUAGAGGCACAUUUUGGGAAAUGAGCUCAAAGUUAGGAUGGGAUGGGGAUCGUUAAACCUCUCACUGAGACCUUAAUCACUGUGACCCCCUUCUUUUAAUGGCCUAUCCUUCAUCAGGUACUUAAAAUUACUCACGUAGUUUUUGUAGCACAAGAGUAUUUUCAUCGUAGAAUGUGAAAAUACCUUCAACAAUAAUCUAGAGACAGUCCGAAUUCAGUGUCAAGGAAUUUAGUGCCGGCGAUGAGCCUGGUCAUGCUAUCAGGCAGUAGGCCUUCUCUAUAGAUAAACCCACGCCAUGUCUAAAUUCUCAAGCGUUACUUGCUCACUUUCUCUCUCUCCCAUUUGUAUUCUUUGUGCCUAGAAAUGACCAUGACAGAGAGAUGCCCAGAUCACUGACCUUUGCAAACAAAACUUUGGAGCCUAAGAGAACUAUAUUAACCCAGUUCUUACUGAUUUCCUCUUUGAGGGGGAAGUUUGAUUGCUUUCCCACACCAAAGAAGUUUAGAGAAUGUGCCAGUGAAUGGGUGCCUACUCUCACCUGGGUAUGUGUGCGUGUGUUGAUACCCAAGAAGUGAGUUUACUAUUUGGUUGGGCAAAGAAUCAAUGAACACGAUUUGUAUUGAGCCUGUAAUGUGUGUGACUUAUUUUUUAAUUUCAAAAUUAUUAUAUACAAGGAACUGUAAUAUUUGGUAAGAAUUGUGAGAAAAUUUAAACAUGAAUAGACACUAGCAGAGCAGACAGACAC
ensembl:lncRNA